AUUCUGCGCAUGCGUCAGAGGAUCGUUAGCCCUCAGACUUGCCAAGGCAAAGUUCGAGGGCGCCAUGUUUUCACGGGAAGACGGUGGAAGACGACAUGGACGGUCGUUUAACAAGGAAAUGCAUCGAUGUGGAGCCAUAUGGCGUCUCAGAAGCAGAUUCCUCUCUGUGUGUAAAACAGCAGCUUGCACCAACUAAGACGCCUGACUGAGAAGAAUAUUGAAGGACGUUGACGCUCAAGAAUUUGGUCUCAAAAGCUUAGACAAGGGUGGGGGUAUGCUGGAGCCUAUCCCAGCUGACUUCGGGCGAGAGGCGGUGCACACCCUGGACUGGUGGCCAGCCAAUCACAGGGCGCAUAUAGACAAACAACCAUUCACACUCACAUUCAUACCUAUGGACAAUUUGGAGUGGCUAAUUAACCUAGCAUGUUUUUGGAAUGUGGGAGGAAACCGGAGUACCUGGAGAAAACCCACGCAUGCACGGAGAGAACAUGCAAACUCCACAGAGAUGCAACGGAGAAUCGAACCCAGUCUUUGGUUUAGUUAUGAAAUGUUUAAUUUAUUUCACAGGUACCCCAACCUGUGGAUGUGUUGUGUUUUUGUGCACCGUGAUCAAGUAUGUCCUUCCUUUUGAUGACCACAUAUAUAAACAGCCCCUCUGCCAAAUGUUUUCAUUCAAUGUGGCUGGCAAGUAUAACUGAUGUCUGAUGUGUGGAACAUGACACGUGUUGAACCAUUUCACUGUUAUUGCAAGUUAAGUUCCAGUUCAGCACAUUUUAUUGUGUCUUUUAAUUGUAAUUAAUUGUAUAAUUGUGAAUGUAAAACAAAUCUCCAAUGAUUUAUAAUGUUUUCUAUGGUAUUUCUAACCGCACUCAUCACUGCUGGAAGUAAAUACAGCGUUACUACAAAUGUAGUAAAGGUGUUCUAGUUUGAAAGAAUGGCGGUCUAGUGGUUAGCGCGCAGACCUCACAGCUAGGGGACCAGGGUUCAAUUUCACCCUCAGGCAUCGCUGUGUGGAGUUUGCAUGUUCUCC